ACCGUCGACAGUCAGGUAACGAGCGAGACCCCUGCGUCUAGUUGCUACCAUUACUCUCUGGAGCAGUGGAGCGAAUUAGACGGACCGCCACAGUUAAUGUGGAGGAAGGAAGGGGCCACGGCAGGUCAGUAUGCCCCGAAACCCUAGGGCUACACGCGGGCUGCAAUGGUAUUGACAAUGUGUUCCGAAUCCGAAAGGAGGAGGCAAUCAUCAAACAAUAUCUCAGUUAUGACUGAGGGCUGUAACACGCCCUCACGAAUAUGGAAUCCCUAGUAACCGCGCGUCACUACCGCGCGGUGAAUACGUCCCUGCUCCUUGCACGAAUUCGCCG
rnacentral:rRNA from 1 species